CCUACGGGAGGCAGCAGUGGGGAAUAUUGGACAAUGGGGGGAACCCUGAUCCAGCCAUGCCGCGUGUGUGAAGAAGGCCCUCGGGUUGUAAAGCACUUUCAGUGAGGAAGAACGCCUGGUGGUUAAUACCCAUCAGGAAAGACAUCACUCACAGAAGAAGCACCGGCUAACUCCGUGCCAGCAGCCGCGGUAAUACGGAGGGUGCGAGCGUUAAUCGGAAUUACUGGGCGUAAAGCGCGCGUAGGUGGCUUGAUAAGCCGGUUGUGAAAGCCCCGGGCUCAACCUGGGAACGGCAUCCGGAGGUGUCAAGCUAGAGUGUUGGAGAGGAAGGUAGAAUUCUCGGUGUAGGGGUGAGUGGUGGAGAGAUCGGGAGGAAUACCGGUGGCGAAGGCGGCCUAUUGGACUGACACUGACACUGUGGUGCGAAGCCGUGGGUAACAAACAGAGUGAGAGCCCCUAGGAGUC
rnacentral:rRNA from 1 species